UUUAGACAAUUUAUAAUCAAUUUUCAUCCGUUCUCCUGUAGCGGAAUACAAACGAGUAGUACUCUUUUCUAAGUACCUUAAAGGGAUGAUGCCUUUCACAAUGCAAUUGCGAUCAGCUCCACUGUCAAGCAGCGCGAUUUUGUUAAGAACUAAGUCUAGCAAUAACCAAUCGGAUGGGUAUAUGCUGACUUAGAGAUUUGAUGGUAGCAACCUUGGAACGAGAUUCCUGAAGGGACUCAGAAUCUUCAGGGUUUUCUCCGGG
rnacentral:lncRNA from 1 species